rnacentral:tRNA from 1 species
GGUGGCUUAGUGGUAUAGCGCUUGCCUAGCAUGCAUGAAGCCCUGGGUUCAAUUCCUCAGUACCA